rnacentral:rRNA from 1 species
AUUGAACGCUGGCGGCAUGCCUUACACAUGCAAGUCGAACGGCAGCACGGGAGCAAUCCUGGUGGCGAGUGGCGAACGGGUGAGUAAAGUAUCGGAACGUGCCCAGUCGUGGGGGAUAACGUAGCGAAAGUUACGCUAAUACCGCAUACGAACUAUGGAUGAAAGCGGGGGAACGCAAGACCUCGCGCGAUUGGAGCGGCCGAUAUCAGAUUAGGUAGUUGGUGGGGUAAAGGCUCACCAAGCCGACGAUCUGUAGCUGGUCUGAGAGGACGACCAGCCACACUGGGACUGAGACACGGCCCAGACUCCUACGGGAGGCAGCAGUGGGGAAUUUUGGACAAUGGGCGAAAGCCUGAUCCAGCCAUGCCGCGUGCAGGAUGAAGGCCUUCGGGUUGUAAACUGCUUUUGUACGGAACGAAAAGGUUUGGCCUAAUAAGCUGAGCUCAUGACGGUACCGUAAGAAUAAGCACCGGCUAACUACGUGCCAGCCGCCGCAGUAA